GGCAAUGACAUAUAUCAACAGAAAGUCAGAAAUUCAAGAAAAAGCAAUGAUAUGUCAAGAAACUACCACCAAGUGAUAGUGGAUUUAAAGGCUACUCUGAAGAUGGAACCCCUGGCAGGCAGUACCACAGACAAGCUUGAUUUGGACCUCAUCCUUCCCCACCACUCCACAAGUAAGUCUAGUCUACAUGGGCGUUGUUGGUUCGACCUUUCUACAAAACAUUACCACACAAGAAUGCACCUCCGAAUGGUUCAAGAACAACAAUGCGUAAUGGUUGGUUAAUGGAGUCAGGUUUUGGUCAGAUCGUAAGUUAUAUAUCUCGAUUAUUAAUUUCUUCAUCGCUGGGGUAAUUUAACAAUAAUUAGAUACCAAAUUUUAGCAAUAUAAAAAAAGAAAUAGCUAUAACAUAGUCAUAAUAGAUAGUUAAAUAGUUAUCAUAAUUAUAGUAAUUUCAGUAAGUUUAGAUGUGAAGAUGUGCCGAUGAAAGACGUCUUAAAAAAAGGGCAAUGGUGCCCAAUAGGUCACUUCGAAGCAAGCACAAGAGUUUGUUUUGAGGGAUUUAUUGCGGCUUCAAACCCAGUAUUUUCGAUUGGAACCAAAAAAAUUGUAGAAGCAGUUGCGCCGACAUUGCCGUUGUCCUAACUGUGACUUAGAGAGAGGCGUAGCUUUGCAGCGAAUGGCUUGCCAAAGAAUGCCGCGCAGGUUGCCCGUCCUUGGGUUAAUAUGAGCCAAUUGGAUUUCGGGCAUGCCGGCCAUACCUUCUGGGAGAUAACGAUAAUAAGGAUGCAUAUUAUUUGGUUGGUUAAUUGAGUCA